GAUGAACGCUAGCGGCAGGCCUAACACAUGCAAGUCGAGGGGCAGCACAGAAACAGCAAUGUUUUGGUGGCGACCGGCGGACGGGUGCGUAACGCGUAUGCAACCUACCUUUAACAGGGGGAUAACGGAGAGAAAUUUCCACUAAUACCCCAUAACAUCGAUCAAGGCAUCUUGAUUGGUUGAAAACUCCGGUGGUUAAAGAUGGGCAUGCGUUGUAUUAGGUAGUUGGUGAGGUAAUGGCUCACCAAGCCUACGAUACAUAGGGGGACUGAGGGGUUAGCCCCCCACACUGGUACGGAGACACGGACCAGACUCCUACGGGAGGCAGCAGUGAGGAAUAUUGGUCAAUGGGGGCAACCCUGAACCAGCCAUGCCGCGUGCAGGAAGACGGCUCUAUGAGUUGUAAACUGCUUUUAAACAGGGAUAAAGCACAGUAUGUAUACUGUGUUGAAGGUACUGUAAGAAUAAGGAUCGGCUAACUCCGUGCCAGCCGCCGCAGUAA
rnacentral:rRNA from 1 species